AUAACAUAACAAGGCGUACAGUGUAUGUAUGCCUUGCUAUGUUAUCGGAGGCACGGCACCAGCGGUUGUGUUUUAUGCCAGAGUGUUAAUAAUGAAACCUCUUCUACUGGCCUCAAUAAGUAAGCCAAAGACUAAAGCGAUAAGACCAAGUCAGGUCAGUUUUGCCCCGACAGAGAGUCAUGAUUGGAAAAAGCAGCUAAUGUGAGAGAUUAGGGUCUGAAGUAAGAGCAAGGUUUCUGCCUGUCAAAGGGCAUUUUUCCUCUUAUUGUAACUUGCUUCAUGCUGCUGCUGUGUUUCAUUCCUGUGGUUGAAGUUAGGCUGGGAGUCUUGUAAAAUCUUAUAGAGCUGAAGAGGUUCUGCAUUUGCAUGGAGGCACCUGUUUCUGAAAUCUGGAUUAUUUUGAUAUGUUGACUCUUCUUGGGCUAAAAUGUAGAGAGUAAAUCAGGGAGAAAAAUCCGAAACAGCAAACAGACAGUUGAGUACUGCCAGAUAAAAUAAUCAUUUCUAAAUGAUGAGUAGGCCCACUGUCAGUAUCACAACAAGGCAGACAGGUGUGAAAUUAUGGGAUGCAUUCCCAUAAAUGAAUCUCCUGCAUAGGUUUCAGAGACAACAAAGGACGUUGCAUUGGAUCCAUUUUAAAAAGCCUAAUGCGAGAACAGAGCAGUAAACAGCGAAAGCAAACAAGUGAAAGUGAUGAGAGUGGAUUAUAAACACUGUGUCAUCUCUUCUGUGUUCCUCAGACUGUGCCAUGUGUCUGUGCUCCCCCCAGGCAGAAGUUUCUCACAUUCCACCAAAUGUUAACACGUCUGAAUUCAGUCAGUACAUUUGGCCUCAUGGGCUUCAUGCUACAGUAUGUUGAGAGGAUGUUAGGUUCUUUCCACAAUCUCUUCAUCUCUACUCUCAUAAAAGGGAAACGUCUGCUGCUUCCCUCGGAGAAAGAAUCAAACAAGCCAGCAGUUUUCUGUCAGCGUCUGACAUCCUGAAAUAUUAAAAACCACUCUGAAAAUACAGGAUUUCUCCUACCUCUCAUUUUAGGGUUUUGCUUACUUUAUCUCUGUUUUUCAAGAACCUCCACCGGGCAAAAUUAGGUGAGGAGAAUUUUUUCUUUUCUCUCAUAAUCAACAUUUUAAAUGAUAAAAACUAAAAUCUGCAUCUCAAAGUGUUGGACAGAAAUAGUUUGAUGCAAAACUAGCAUAGUUUCACUGCAAUUCUUAGUAAAUUGGUAGGGUCCAAACAAGCAACAGUUUCCCAUAGCCAGGUUUAAAGCCAGUAGUUAGGGUGUGAUUGUACAAUGGGAGGACAGAGAAACAUCAAAUGUACAGUUGAAACCAGAAGUUUACAUAAACUACAUAAAAAGGCACACAACCUUUUUUUUCUCACCAUCUAACAUUAAAUCAGGUUAAAAUUUUCCUGUUUUUGGUCAGUUAGGAUUAUCAAAAUUAUUUUUAUUUGCUAAAUGCCAGAAUAAUGAGAGAGAGAAUUUUUUUAGACAAUUUUUUAUUACUUUCUCGAGAGUCAAACGUCCUGUGCCGAUAUGGGCUAAAAGGCCACUCUUCCAGGAAGAAGCCAUGAAAGCCAGAUUACAGUUUGCAAAUGCACACAGGGACAAAGACCUUCAUUUUUGAAGACAUGUCCUGUGGUCUGAUGAAACGGAGAUGGAACUUUUUGGCCAUAAAGACCAUUGUUACAUUUGGAGGAAAAAAGGGAAAGCAUGCAAGCCCCAAAACACCAUCCCAACUGUGAAAUAUGGGGGUGGCAGCACCAUGUUGUGGGGUUGUUUUGCAGCAGGAGGGAAUGGUAUACUUAACACAAUAGUUGGCAUCGUGAGGAAAGAACAUUAUGUGGAAAUACUGAAGCAACAUCUCAAGACAACAGUCAGGAAGUUAAAGCUUGGACGCAAAUGGGUUUUCCAAAUGGAUUGUGAUCCUAAGCAUACUGCCAAACCGGUUACAAAGUGGUUUAAGGAUAACAAAGUCAAUGUUUUGAAGUGGCCAUCACAAAGCCCUGAUCUCAAUCCUACUAAAAAAUUUAUGGGCAGAACUGAAAAGUCAUUUUUCUCCCCAUUGAAGUCAACUUAAGUAACAGUAAAUCACAGACCCAAAAAGUACAGUGUAAUCAGUUCACACAAUAAGAAUUAAAGCCUUAAAGGAAUACUUUGCUAAAUUAUUUUUGAUGGCUGUGUAAUAGGAUGUUAGCUGGCUCACCAGGGAAGAUCUAAAAAUGCUCAAAACCGCAAGGCUGGGGUGGACACACAUAAGCAGUGUGAAGCGGCUACUUUGGUGUAUUUUUGUCUCAUGAGCAAUUAUAGAAAUGAGUGGGGGGCCACUUUGGAACUGGGUAGUGAGAUCUUAUAUAAUUUAGGUACCUCUGACUGUUAGCUCAAAAUGCAAAUCACAUCCGCUUCAUGUUAGUAAGAAUCUGACAGUCUGGUAACUCGGCCCAUAUACAGAAAUGUAUGAGAUUAGGUAUGAAGAAGGGACAAUUUAACCUGAGAGAACUGUAGGUGAUUACCAAAGAGGCAAAUGCAAACUAGCUUUACAAUGUUUGAAUUAUUUUCAAUAUAAUUAUAUCUAUAUUUUUUUAGUUAUUUUGUGCCUGCUGAACUCAAGAGUCCAUAUUUUAACAAUCUACAAAACACAGUGCAAAAUGAAGUACAGCUUGCCUGAUUACAUUUUGCUAGUUGAGCAGUGCACAAAUUCUCUUAAAGGGCUAUUUCAGUAUUUUCAAAACUCGGUUAUUUGAGUUACAUCUAACUCUAAAAUGUACGACCAAUGUGUGUCAGUCAGUUCUGCCGCCAGAAGCAAGACACAAUGUAUGCUGCUGUUUCCAGAAGACCGAGCCAACUCUACCUCAUAAUUCAGCUAAUUCUAAAAGACUCUGACCCAAGCACUCAUCUUGGUUUAAGUGUUCGCUCUACCCAGUCAUUUUCCAGCACUUUGCCAUCAGAAAGCCUGUUUCUUUUUGCACUCCUUGCAGACGUAUCUCACACAGAUGUGCUCGUCUGCAUGCACUGGGACCAACUAACCAGGUCAAUGUUGAAUGGAAUACUGCUAUAUUGUAAAAUCUGAUAUUUCUGCAUAUGGCGGUAAGCACCAAAGGCCCAGGCCCAGGCAGAUGCAGAACCAUGCACAGAGUUUGUUAUUCAACUUAGUCUUCCCCUUCAGCAGCAAACACUGUGUACUCUGAACAUAUCUGCCAGAGUAUGGGUUGUGUCAUUAUGCUGUAAAAAACUCUGAGAGUAGAACACUAAAAGCAUACCCUUAAACUUAGAUGAGUGCUUAGGCGAGAGGCAAGGCUGGCCAGAAACAGAGUAUACUUAGGGCUUUGCUUCUACUGGCAGUUUUUCAGAAAAGGGGCCAAGCUGACCAGAAUCCAUUGUGGUUACACGUAGUGACAUAAAACCUCACUUAAAAAAUACCAAAAUACUCCUUUAAAUGUUUGAAGUAUAGCUUAGUAUGAUUUACUUCUUGUUCAUCAGUUCAUGGGCUGGUAGUGUCCUCUUAUAAAAAAUAAAAAUAAAAAAAAUAUUUUGUGCAACUCAUGAAAAAAGUAAACUAAAGAAGCUUGAAUUUAUCAAAUUAUCAAAUGAAUUUAUCAAAAACAAAUGGUACAAACAAAAAAGCAAUAAAGGAAAAUAUACAAGCAGACAACUAAGAGGUCAUGAAAAGACAAAAUUAUAAUCAAAGAUCAUUAUGAAGCGAAAUCUGACAGCUCGUGAAUAUCUUUUUUUUUUUAUUAUUGUUAUAAGAUCAAUAAUUAUGGUCAGUUAAUCUUGGGAAUUGUGUAUCUUAAUGACCGCAGUGGUGUUAAGGAGCAAAGUAGUUGUACUUAGUUCCUGUAUUUUUUUGUUAUUAUCUGUACUUUACUUAAGAUUUUAUAUUUCUGACAACUCCUUCUUUCACUUCACUACAUUUCCCAGAGUGCUUUUGUGGGUGUACUGUUGUUCCAAUACAUUUUCCCAUUUAUCCUGGCUACUCCUUACUACAUGGACAUCAUUUUGGGUUAUUUGUUAAGUGAAUAACGGCUUUUAAUGAAUUGGAACUAAGAGGUUAACAACAUUGCAUAUGUCAACUGGCAUAAAAACCUUGACAAAGAAGAAGAGGAGUCAAGGAGACCAAGUAGAGGAAGGAGAAACCUCCUGCUCCUCCUCAUCUGCUUCUUCAUUCAGCCUCACUCAGCUUGUCUCUCUCUUGCACUCGCUGUCUCUGUGACUCUGACACAAAUUUCAGCAGAGGACAGGAUAGUGUCAUAAAACUGACAUAGUUACUGACAAAGAAUACAACUCAGUCUUCUCUGGUUGUUUCAAAACUGCAUUAACAGUAAUAAGUUGGACGCCAGAUAACUUCUCCAGAAAUGUCGACCAAUAAGAUGCUGUACAUCUCUCUUCAUCACUGUGGUUUUAUGCUAAUGUUUAAUUAGAGCGACGUCGCACUGCAGGCUAUAUGAGAUUCAGACAGACAAACAGAGAGGCGGCAGGUGUUGGUGGAAAACAGGGAGAGGAGAGAGGGACCCCAAUGGAUGAUAGAGAAAAAGAGAGAGGGAUGAGCAGAUGAUGAGAGGUAAACAGAGACACAGACACUACACUGCAUUAGCACUACCUGAAAAGCCCUCAAUAAUAGGCUAUUAAAAACUCUUACGAUAGCAAUGAAACUCCUAUCACUAAUAAUUUGUUUAAUUUAGCAGCAAAUGUGAGGUAUAUUUUUAGGUAUUAUUUAUCAGAAAUAAUAUAUGUAUUCUGAAUUUUAAUAAGGUGCCAGAGCAUGUUAAUUUGAGGUUUAUGAUCCAGAAGUUAACGAGCAUUUCUAUCUCUAAAGUAUCCAGAAAUAUUUAAAUUAAAAAUUGGUAGGAGUUUUGUAGUAGGAGGACAGGUUUUAUAUAGAUAGUGGUCAAGAAUAAAUGUAUUUUGUCUGACUAAUAAAGUGUGAUGACUUUGAUUUAUGGUGUUAUUCUCAGAGGGAUGAUGAGCAGGUACUGGUUGUUACAGUUUUUCUGUUCUCUUUAAUGAUUCACACUCAGUUCUGUCAACUGAAAAGAGACAGAGACAAUAUUUAUUCUUUUACCUACAUUGGUCUAUGCUUGAGGCAUCUGAGUAACCAAAGCUGGUGUUAUACAGCUGGAAAAAAUGUUCAUAAUUAUCAAUAUUCUGAACACUUGCACUUUCACUUUUAAUACUCAAGUAAAAUUGAAACCAAAACACUCUUGGUACAAAACUUAUCAGAUUAAGACUUUCACUCUAGCAAUUUUCAAACAGACAUUUUUCACUUUACCAAAGUCAAUAUCUGGAGCUGUACUUUACUCAAAGAUGGCUUCCAGGUGCUUCAUACACCAAUGAUCCUUAUCUAAACCCCGGCCAAAAGCCACAUGUGUAGGAGUCCAAUAGAUUUAUGUGUUCUUUGGUAAAGAUUAUAACAGGAUAGAAGGAGAUAAAGCACCAAGAGUGGAAAGGUUAAAGGUCAUGAUCUGCCCUGUCAGAGAAUGGUAGAAAUUCAUGUGUAGAAACUGUGUUUGAUGAGAAAGCUUCUGUAUGCUAUUCUUCUCAUGUGACUUUUGCACUGACCUGAGUGAAGCUCAUCUUUUAGUCCAUGUGUGUCAAGUAUUUUGUAUCGUGUUAAAAGAAACCUCAUCCAUAAAAUAUCACUAAAAGAUGGCAGGCAGUCACCAACAUAUGAAGAUGCUUAUUAUAUCUCUAUAUCUCUAAAUAACCAGCCUUAAACAUGAAUUCUGGAACAUGAAGCAGAAGCAGUUAUGCAACCCCAGUCGAUGGAUGAGGUCUUUGAGAUCAUGGCAAUUUGAAAAUGUGUGCAGAUGUUCGUGCAAGCAACUAAAAGCCUAUUUAAAACAUGUUAGAAAGAGAAACAUUUUCACAGUAAAAACACACACAAAGCUGUAUCCAUGUCAUAGCACUCCUAAUGUUCAGAUAUGUCAAAUCCUCCCUUUAACCCUAGGGCUGUUUGACAU
rnacentral:lncRNA from 1 species